rnacentral:sRNA from 1 species
UGAUGAAGUUCCUCCAGCAACCGCUCC